AUGCUCCCAAAGGUUGACAGGGAAAGGGUGGCCAACUUCAUGUGCCACAACAUCCAGACGGCAGACAAAUAUUAUGCCAUGAAUUUAAAUCCAACCCAAGCAAAUGAAACCAGGGCACUCUUUGAGGCUGCACUGAAGGGGGAAGAUAACACAGUCGCCGCAGAGAACCAGCCCUCCACCUCAGGAGAAAGAAAGCAGAAGGUGAGAGAGGAUGCCUCCCUCUCCGACGGGAGCACCACCCCUGAAGAGACCAAGGUGAUGUACCAGGAGUCUGGCACGUCCGCCGGUGACUCGGAAGAGGAGGAAGAGGAUGAAGAUGAGGAACAGAUGGCCAGACAACUUCCAGAGACACCUUCCAAGGUGACCAAUCCUCAGGUGGAGAUGGAACUUACCCCAAAGAGGAAGCGGAGCAUCUGCACACGCCGCAUGGAGGUCGCCAUCAGCCCCAUGCUAGUCUCACCCCUCAAAGUGAGGCUCAAGUCGCCCCCCCCACCAGUCCCUCAUUGUCACAUUAAAAGGGAUGCAACAACUAAACUCAAAUAAAGUCAGACUAAAAAAUGCCAUUGCCUCAAGGAGGUUAAAGCUGCAGGAGAAGGUGCAAAAGAGAGGAGGGGACCCCUGAUGCAGCUCGAAGGAAGGGGAGCCGACCAACAACAAGACUUCCUCUUCCAAAUAGUCAUGUAGAUUGUUUUAGACUCUCACAUUUAUACUGUUCUGAUUUUGUUUGGUUUGAUUUUCAAUUUUGGUGUGCUUGUUUACAUUUUAGAAGUGUAAAAUGUGUGUAAUUUAGUCUAACUGUCUGUUCAAUUUUCUAUUUUGGUGUGAUUCUUUAUAAUGUAAAGGUUUGUUCUGUUUUAUUAAAUAACUAGUUUAGUAAUUAUUUGUGUUGUGCUUUCUUUAAGGUUAUAUUCUAACUGUCUGUUCAAUAUUCUAUUUUGGUGUGAUUCUUUAUAAUGUAAAGGUUUGUUCUGUUUUAUUAAAUAACUAGUUGAGUAAUUCUUUGUGUUGUGCUUUCUUUAAGGUUUAUAUUUAGUUUGUCACUUAAUUUGUAAGUGUUAAACAUUCACUGUCUUGUGUUGUUGUCUGUGAAGGUAGGAACAAAUAUUUAGGCAUUAUUGGCAUGGGAAUCAUAUGUUUACAUUGGCAAAGCAAAUUAAGUAGAUAAUAAACAAAAGUGAAAUAAACAAUAAAGUCCUGCUGUAGACUGUACUACUGCUGUUCAGGAAGCACAAUUUGAACUAGAAACUUACACAGACAGGCUGAAAUAAACACUAAAAAAUAACAAAUGGCAUCACCGUAAUAUCCCGCUUGACCGUAGCUCGCUCGAACUGAGCGCAGCGACCAUGAGAAAAGUAAGCCCAAAAUGAAGCCUGCCCCACAACGUCAUUUGCUUUUGGGUGACAGUGAGAGAACCGUUAGGUUUAGAAGGACAAUUCAACCACAGGAAUGUUCCUAACGUCCUUCCGAUCCAUGCAAGCCUUACCUUGACCGUGUGGCAUUAACCCUUAAAAAUAAAACAGGGUUUUUUGAUCUCACAGAUUACAAUGACAUCUCUCCCCAUAGGAAUACAUUGACAGCUCCCCUAAAUUCAACCUGGAGCCUAUGUGGGUUAAUAAUGCCUUAUGAACCUGUCUUCAAUGCCAAUCCAUCAGGCCACUAUGAGGUCUACCUGUGUCGAUUCUAAGCUUCCUGGAGCAACCGGAAGUGGUUAAAUUCACCCAAAAUGUAUUUUGAUGUACAUAACCUGCAAAUGUGAAAAUGACUGCAUUCAACCCUGGGUAGAUCAGUCAAUUCUUAACAUAAAGACUUUAGGAUUCUCAGGAUUCUGUAAGAGAAUACCCAAAGCAAGAUAUUUGUUUACCUAUAGCUUCCUGUGCCAACCGGAAGUGCCUUUAAUUGGUGUCUCAGGGGCUUCUCCUUAGGAGGGAUGGGGACACCACCACGGGAC
rnacentral:lncRNA from 1 species